rnacentral:rRNA from 1 species
UACGUAGGGUGCAAGCGUUAAUCGGAAUUACUGGGCGUAAAGCGUGCGCAGGCGGUUUGGUAAGACAGAUGUGAAAUCCCCGGGCUUAACCUGGGAAUUGCAUUUGUGACUGCCCGGCUAGAGUUUGGCAGAGGGGGGUAGAAUUCCACGUGUAGCAGUGAAAUGCGUAGAUAUGUGGAGGAAUACCGAUGGCGAAGGCAGCCCCCUGGGUCAAGACUGACGCUCAUGCACGAAAGCGUGGAGAGCAAACAGG